UCAGCAAUGACCUCGCGCGGUUGGAUGGACCGAUGUUCGAUUAGCUUGUUGGUGGGGUAAUGGCCUACCAAGGCGACGAUCGAUAGCUGGUCUGAGAGGAUGAUCAGCCACACUGGGACUGAGACACGGCCCAGACUCCUACGGGAGGCAGCAGUGGGGAAUAUUGGACAAUGGGCGCAAGCCUGAUCCAGCAAUGCCGCGUGUGUGAAGAAGGCCUUCGGGUUGUAAAGCACUUUUAUCAGGAGCGAAAUACCACGGGUUAAUACCCUAUGGGGCUGACGGUACCUGAGGAAUAAGCACCGGCUAACUUCGUGCCAGCAGCCGCGGUAAUACGAAGGGUGCAAGCGUUAAUCGGAAUUACUGGGCGUAAAGCGUGCGUAGGUGGUUUUUUAAGUCUGCUGUGAAAUCCCCGGGCUCAACCUGGGAAUGGCAGUGGAUACUGGAAAGCUAGAGUGUGAGAGAGGAUGGUGGAAUUCCCGGUGUAGCGGUGAAAUGCGUAGAGAUCGGGAGGAACAUCAGUGGCGAAGGCGGCCA
rnacentral:rRNA from 1 species